rnacentral:rRNA from 1 species
GAUGAACGCUGGCGGCGUGCCUAAUACAUGCAAGUCGAGCGAACAGACGAGGAGCUUGCUCCUCUGACGUUAGCGGCGGACGGGUGAGUAACACGUGGAUAACCUACCUAUAAGACUGGGAUAACUUCGGGAAACCGGAGCUAAUACCGGAUAAUAUAUUGAACCGCAUGGUUCAAUAGUGAAAGACGGUUUUGCUGUCACUUAUAGAUGGAUCCGCGCCGCAUUAGCUAGUUGGUAAGGUAACGGCUUACCAAGGCGACGAUGCGUAGCCGACCUGAGAGGCUGAUCGGCCACAUUGGAACGGGGACACGGUCCAGACUCCUAAGGGAGGGAGCAGAAGGGAAUCGUCCGCAAUGGGCGAAAGCAUGACGGAGCAAGGCGGAGUGAGUGAUGAAGGUCUUCGGAUCGUAAAACUCUGUUAUGAGGGAAGAACAAAUGUGUAAGUAAAUAUGCACGGCGUGACGGUACCUAAUCAGAAAGCCACGGCUAACUACGUG